rnacentral:rRNA from 1 species
UUUCCACCGGAGCUUGCUCCAUCGGAAAAAGAGGAGUGGCGAACGGGUGAGUAACACGUGGGUAACCUGCCCAUCAGAAGGGGAUAACACUUGGAAACAGGUGCUAAUACCGUAUAACAAUCGAAACCGCAUGGUUUCGAUUUGAAAGGCGCUUUCGGGUGUCGCUGAUGGAUGGACCCGCGGUGCAUUAGCUAGUUGGUGAGGUAACGGCUCACCAAGGCGACGAUGCAUAGCCGACCUGAGAGGGUGAUCGGCCACAUUGGGACUGAGACACGGCCCAAACUCCUACGGGAGGCAGCAGUAGGGAAUCUUCGGCAAUGGACGAAAGUCUGACCGAGCAACGCCGCGUGAGUGAAGAAGGUUUUCGGAUCGUAAAACUCUGUUGUUAGAGAAGAACAAGGAUGAGAGUAACUGUUCAUCCCUUGACGGUAUCUAACCAGAAAGCCACGGCUAACUACGUGCCAGCAGCCGCGGUAAUACGUAGGUGGCAAGCGUUGUCCGGAUUUAUUGGGCGUAAAGCGAGCGCAGGCGGUUUCUUAAGUCUGAUGUGAAAGCCCCCGGCUCAACCGGGGAGGGUCAUUGGAAACUGGGAGACUUGAGUGCAGAAGAGGAGAGUGGAAUUCCAUGUGUAGCGGUGAAAUGCGUAGAUAUAUGGAGGAACACCAGUGGCGAAGGCGGCUCUCUGGUCUGUAACUGACGCUGAGGCUCGAAA